rnacentral:rRNA from 1 species
GUCCGGCGUGAAAGGCAGAGGCUCAACCUCUGGACUGCGUUGGAUACUUCCGUGCUUGAGGACUGGAGGGGAGACUGGAAUUCACGGUGUAGCAGUGAAAUGCGUAGAUAUCGUGAGGAAGACCGGUGGCGAAGGCGAGUCUCUGGACAGAUCCUGACGCUGAGGCACGAAGGCUGGGGGAGCGAACAGGAUUAGAUACCCUGGUAGUCCCAGCAGUAAACGAUGUGAGCUUGAUGUGGGGGGAUUCGACCCCUUCCGUGUCGAAGCUAACGCGAUAAGCUCACCGCCUGAGGAGUACGGCCGCAAGGCUAAAACUCAAAGAAAUUGACGGGGACCCGCACAAGCGGUGGAGUAUGUGGCUUAAUUCGAUGCAACGCGAAGAACCUUACCUGGCCUUGACAUGCAUUGUGUCGUCGGUGAAAGCCGGCUAGUCCUGGAAACAGGACGCUUUGCACAGGUGCUGCAUGGCUGUCGUCAGCUCGUGUCGUGAGAUGUUGGGUUAAGUCCCGCAACGAGCGCAACCCUUGUGGUCAGUUACUAACCGGCUUAGCCGGAGGACUCUGGCCAGACUGCCCUGUCAAACGGGGAGGAAGGUGGGGACGACGUCAAGUCAGUAUGGCCCUUAUGGCCAGGGCUGCACACGUACUACAAUGCCCGGUACAAUGUGAACCGAAACCGCGAGGUGGAGGAAAUCGCUCUUGAAAACCGGGCCCAGUUCGGAUUGGAGUCUGCAACUCGACUCCAUGAAGUCGGAAUCGCUAGUAAUGGCGUAUCAGCAACGACGCCGUGAAUACGUUCCCGGGUCUUGUACACACCGCCCGUCACAUCAUGGAAGUCCCCUGUACCCGAAGCACGUGCGCCAACCUUUUAGGAGGCAGCGUUCGAAGGUAUGGGAG